rnacentral:rRNA from 1 species
ACGCGAACGACUGAGCGACAGUGCUGAUACACAUGCAAGUCGAACGCUCUGUAUGCAAUACGGAGUGGCAGACGGGUGAGUAUGGCGUGGGAACAUACCGCUAUCGCAUCGGAAUAACUCAGGUGAUUAACUUGAGCUAAUACCGGCUACGUCCAAGGUUGAAUCGCUUAUCGGAGAAAGAUUUAUCGCCGAGGGAUUGGCCCGCGUCUGAUUAGCUUGUUGGUGAGGUAAUGGCUCACCAAGGCGACGAUCAGUAGCUGGUCUGAGAGCGAUGAUCAGCCACAUUGGGACUGAGACACGGCCCAAACUCCUACGGGAGGCAGCAGUGGGGAAUAUUGGACAAUGGGCGAAAGCCUAGAUCCAGCCAUGCCGCGUGAGUGAUGAAUGGCCUUAGGGUUGUAAAGCUCUGUGUUACCCGGGAAGAUAAUGACGGUACCGGGAGAAUAAGCCCCGGCUAACUUGCGUGCCAGCAGCCGCGGUAAUACGAAGGGCGGUCUAGCGUUGUUCGGAUUUACUGGGCGUAAUAGCGCACGUAGCGCGGAUCUCGAAGUCAGGCGGUGAAAUCCCGAGGCUCAACCUCGGAACUGCCUUGGAUACUGGGGAUCUUGAGUCCGGGAGAGGCAUGAGUGGAACUGCGAGUGUAGAGGUUCAUAUUCGUAGAUAUUCGCAAGAAUCACCAGUGGCGAACGGCGGCUCACUGGCCCGGUACUGACGCUGAGGUGCGAAUAUGCGUGACGAGCAAAUCAGGAUUAGAUACCCUGGUAGUCUCACGCCGUAACACGAUGGAUGCUAGCCGUUAGACAGCUUGCUGUUAUAGUGGCGCAGUUAACGCUUUAAGCAUCCCGCCUGGCGGAGUACGGUCGCAAGAUUAAAACUCAAAGGAAUUGACGGGCGGCCCGCACAAGCGGUGGAGCAUGUGGUUUAAUUCGAAUGCAACGCGAAUGAACCUUACCAGCUCUUGACAUGUCUCGUUUGGCGGACCGGAGACGAGUUUCCUUCAGUUCGGCUGGCGAGAACACUCGGUGCUGCAUGGCUGUCGUCAGCUCGUGUCGUGAGAUGUCCUGGAUACAGUCCGCGCAACGAGCGCAUAGCCCUCGCCCUUAAGUUGCCAUCAUUCAGUUGGCCGCACUCUAGGCGGACCUGCCGGUGAUAAGCCGAGAUGAUAGGUGGCGGAUGACGUCAAGUCCUCAUGGCCCUUACGGGCUGGCGCUACACACGUGCUACAAUGGCGGUGACAAUGGGAUGCGGCAGGGCGCGACCCCGAGCAUAAUCUCAAACAAGCCGAGACAGUUCGGAUUGCACUCUGCAACCUCGAGUGCAUGAAAGUUGGAAUCGCUAGUAAUCGUAGAUCAGACCCGCUACGGUGAAUACGUUCCCGGGCCUUGUACACACCGCCCGUCACACCAUGGGAGUUAGGUUCUACCCGAAGGCGUUCUUGCUAACCGCAAGUGCCGGGUCUGCGACCAUCGGUAGGGUCAGCGGACUGGCUGCUGAAGUC